GUCAUCAGUGCACAAUCAAAUCCUCUGCGGUAAACGUAUAUAUAAAAAGACAAAAAAAUCAUUUUCAUCAGCAGUUAUCCGUCUUCAUAGACGUUUAUACUAGUUUAUUAUCUGGUUUAUUUAUACCCUUUGCUACUUUCAAAAUGUGUUGCGGACCUUGCGGUGGAUGCUGCGGCGGCUGUUGCUGCGGGCCAUGCUGCCCCUGUAUCACCAUCUACACUUGCUGUACGAAGAUCUGCUAACCUGCCGCGGCGAGGGAACGUCGCAAGGCGCUCCACGUCCGCUCGGCUUCGUUAUGUACUCAAUAUACAGUGCCGUUACGUGAAAUAAAUGUAUUAAGAGUAA